rnacentral:rRNA from 1 species
UACGUAGGUGGCGAGCGUUGUCCGGAUUUACUGGGCGUAAAGAGCGCGCAGGCGGUCGUGCAAGUCGCGUGUGAAAGCCCCCGGCUCAACUGGGGAGGGUCACGCGAUACUGUUCGACUCGAAGGCAGGAGAGGGAAGUGGAAUUCCCGGUGUAGUGGUGAAAUGCGCAGAUAUCAGGAGGAACACCAGUGGCGAAGGCGGUGCUCUGGGCCGGAACUGACGCUGAGGAGCGAAAGCGUGGGGAGCAAACAGG